GACGAACGCUGGCGGCGUGCCUAAUACAUGCAAGUCGAGCGCAGGAAACUGACGGAACUCUUCGGAGGGAAGGCAGUGGAAUGAGCGGCGGACGGGUGAGUAACACGUAAGGAACCUGCCUCAAGGAUUGGGAUAACUCCGGGAAAUCGGAGCUAAUACCGGAUAGUUCAACGGACCGCAUGGUCCGCUGAUGAAAGGCGCUCCGGCGUCACCUUGAGAUGGCCUUGCGGUCCAUUAGCUAGUUGGUGGGGUAACGGCCCACCAAGGCUACGAUGCAUAGCCGACCUGAGAGGGUGAUCGGCCACACUGGGACUGAGACACGGCCCAGACUCCUACGGGAGGCAGCAGUAGGGAAUCUUCCACAAUGGACGAAAGUCUGAUGGAGCAACGCCGCGUGAGUGAUGAAGGUUUUCGGAUCGUAAAACUCUGUUGUAAGGGAAGAACACGUACGAGAGGAAAUGCUCGUACCUUGACGGUACCUUACGAGAAAGCCACGGCUAACUACGUGCCAGCAGCCGCCGUAAAAC
rnacentral:rRNA from 1 species